UGAUGGCUGCUGUUUGUUUAUUUGUUUACAAGAUAAUUUACAGGUUAAUUAGCCCGUAAUUUUUCAAAAAACCAAUGAAAUCAUAGAAAAAUUAACAUGUUAAAUGUGGAUAAAUGUAUAUUUAAUUUCAAACAAUUAUUUGGUGAGUUUCAGGAACCGACAAUGUAUUUUACGGACCUACAAUCCUGCUGGUAAUCAUCAACAUAUUUUUCACCAAAUUGGGAAUGAACGAGCUAUUUACGGUGAAUACUACUUAUAGAAGUCCUUUUGGUAAACUGAAAUUAAGUUAUAUAGAGGCAUUACGAUACAUCUAUGGCUAUCUGCUACAGUAAAUGACCCAAAUCCUGCUUAAUAGUAUACCUCAUGAAUGGGUUUUACACUGGUGGUAAACAGUGAGAAAUAACCUUGGAAAUGUGAAAUCUGAACGAUAUAUACAUAGAACAUUGAUUACAAAUUAGUUGAGAUACUUCUUGAAGAAAGGCUGAGUAUGGCCUUUUAUUAUUCUACAAGUGUUAAUAUUAAUCGUUUAGUUCUGCAAUAGGCAGCUGUGGUUCUAUUAAUGGAAUUGGGAUAAUAAAUCUGCUUUCGAAUUUAGUACUUUGGGUACUGAGCAGAUCCAGUAAAAUAUUGCUAUUAGUACUGAAACUUGUUAUACAACUACAAAUUAAAAAAAGAAAAACAGACUGUGAGAAACCAAGAUUUUUAUGUGGCUGUAAUUAUAUUAAUUACAGUCUGAUUCUAAAUCUGCUUGUAAAUUCUACAUUGUUUUCUACAUCCAAUUUUAUAUUAUUAUUAAUUUUAAAUGUAAAACUAAGAACGUAAAGUAUGUAAUUGAACUGCUAAAUUUUUCAUUGAGUAGUUAUAAUUAUUUUAAACAAUGUUUUACUGAAAAUUUGUUUGAAGACUUACCAUUAUACUUAUCUUUCAACUUCAAUAAUUGUUUGUGAAUACUAUUACUGAAAUAUUUAAAAGUAAAAUGUAAAUCUUUAAACAAAGUACUUAUGUAACUUAUCUGAUAAUCAUAUACAAGUGGUAAUGAUCUUUAUUAACUAACAUUUACCGAAAUCUUCUCUUUUACAGACCUUAUAUGUCU
rnacentral:lncRNA from 1 species